rnacentral:rRNA from 13 species
UUGAACGCUGGCGGCAUGCCUUACACAUGCAAGUCGAACGGCAGCACGGGGGUAACCCUGGUGGCGAGUGGCGAACGGGUGAGUAAUACAUCGGAACGUGUCCUGUAGUGGGGGAUAGCCCGGCGAAAGCCGGAUUAAUACCGCAUACGAUCUACGGAAGAAAGCGGGGGAUCCUUCGGGACCUCGCGCUAUAGGGGCGGCCGAUGGCAGAUUAGCUAGUUGGUGGGGUAAAGGCCUACCAAGGCGACGAUCUGUAGCUG